UACGGAGGGGGCUAGCGUUGUUCGGAAUUACUGGGCGUAAAGCGCACGUAGGCGGCUUGGUAAGUUAGAGGUGAAAGCCUGGAGCUCAACUCCAGAAUUGCCUUUAAGACUGCCGAGCUAGCAGGUGAGAGAGGUGAGUGGAAUUCCGAGUGUAGAGGUGAAAUUCGUAGAUAUUCGGAAAAACACCAGUGGCGAAGGCGGCUCACUGGCCCGGAACUGACGCUGACGUACGAAAGCGUGGGGAGCAAACAGG
rnacentral:rRNA from 1 species